CUACAGCCUACAAAUAGUGCUUGUUAAGUGAAUAAAGAGUAAACAAACCAAAAAGCAGCGGAAGAGGAGAAGAUGAUGCAACAUGAACCACCUUGGGAGAGAAGGAUUCUGAGUUGCAGGGUUUUGAGUUUCAGGCAGCUCUUGAGUCAGAAGAAUUAUUCCAUUGGACGCCGCCUUCCCUGUUUCCAACUGUAAUGCAGGUUCAUCAGACCACAGUCCGCCCCACCCCACGUGACCCGUCUGCUGCUCACCGGAGUUUGCUCAGGCUCCAGUAACAUUUGGGACGCUGCCCACUGGAUUAUCCCUUCUUCUCUGGGCUCCAGCUAACCACUCUCCAUAGAGCCAAGCCCUACUUCUCCCCGAGGUAGUCAGUGCCUCAGUUUAAAUCAUCUUCUGCUUGCACAAGAAUCACGACCCUGAAGUCUGUAACAUUGCUGGAGUAUGGGUAGAAAUGAUGCCCACUAGUCCAAGCAUGGCCCACUGGAAUCUCUUGGUCUCCUUUGGGCAGCGCCUGUAGCGGAUACUCUCACCUGUGCUUCAACCUUUCCCUAGAACUUACCCCCAACAGAUGGGCAGAAGAAGAGGUCAUGCCGGCUUUCCUAAACAACUUUCUGGAAGAACAAAUUGCACUUGCGUCCUUCCGGGAGGCUGGAGGAAGGAAAACCCACUACUCAUGUCCUCUGUUGGUGGGC